rnacentral:misc_RNA from 1 species
UUUUUUUUUUUUUUUUUUUUUUUUUUUUUUUUUUUUUUUUUUUUUUUUUUUUUUUUUUUUUUUUUUUUUUUUUUUUUUUUUUUUUUUUUUUUUUUUUUUUUUUUUUUUUUUUUUUUUUUUUUUUUUUUUUUUUUUUUUUUUUUUUUUUUUUUUUUUUUUUUUUUUUUUUUUUUUUUUUUUUUUUUUUUUUUUUUUUUUUUUUUUUUUUUUUUUUUUUUUUUUUUUUUUUUUUUUUUUUUUUUUUUUUUUUUUUUUUUUUUUUUUUUUUUUUUUUUUUUUUUUUUUUUUUUUUUUUUUUUUUUUUUUUUUUUUUUUUUUUUUUUUUUUUUUUUUUUUUUUUUUUUUUUUUUUUUUUUUUUUUUUUUUUUUUUUUUUUUUUUU